GACAGAGGGUGCAAACGUUGUUCGGAAUUACUGGGCGUAAAGCGAGUGUAGGCGGUUUCCUAAGUCAGGUGUGAAAGCCCCGGGCUCAACCCGGGAAGUGCACUUGAAACUGGGAGGCUAGAGUACUGGAGAGGUUGGUGGAAUUCUCGGUGUAGAGGUGAAAUUCGUAGAUAUCGGGAGGAACACCGGUGGCGAAGGCGGCGAUCUGGGUCGAUACUGACGCUGAGGUGCGAAAGCGUGGGGAGCAAACAGG
rnacentral:rRNA from 1 species